GGCAAUUCCACAUCCUCGUGGUCAUGCACAUUUGGCAGCACUUGUCAACCAUGAAUCUUACAAUUUUUCUCAUAGAAUAGAUCAUUUGUCUUUUGGAGAGCUUGUUCCAGCAAUUAUUAAUCCUUUAGAUGGAACUGAAAAAAUUGCUAUAGAUCUUUUUUUUGUAUUCUAGACAACCAGAUGUUCCAAUAUUUUAUUACAGUUGUGCCAACAAAACUACAUACAUAUAAAAUAUCAGCAGACACCCAUCAGUUUUCUGUGACAGAAAGGGAACGUAUCAUUAACCAUGCUGCAGGCAGCCAUGGAGU
rnacentral:lncRNA from 1 species